rnacentral:lncRNA from 1 species
AAAUAAAACAAUUCACUAAAUUCUUUGGCAUCAGAAGAAUCAUAGAGCUGGUCUUGUUCCACUGUGGCGAGUACGAGAGUCUUCCAAACAUACUUGUCUGUUAUCUCGUGGUACACGCUUCCGACGAUCUCUGAAUGCAGCUCCUGACUGCAAGGCCUCGAGGAGACUAUCCAUCACUCCUGUCUCAUCACCUUCUUUGUUCAUAUCAAGCAACCGUUGC